AAUCCGCGUACUGCCCCCACCCCUCCGCUAAUGGCAUGGCACCCGUACCCCCCGCCGCCUCCGCUGCUACGAGAGGGGCGCCGCCGAACGAUGACAAGGAGGAGGCCAUGGUGGAGGAGGCGGUCGUCUCCCUCGUCCUGCACCUCGAGCAUGACAUCAAGCGCUGCAAGCUCAAGCUGCUCCACUACUAGUUCCUAGUACACGCUCCCACGCUCACCGCCGCCCACCACCGGUGUAGCUUGACCUCCGUCCACCGCUCGCUAGAUCUCACGCCCUGCCGACGGCCACCGACCCAACCACCUUGCUCGCCCUUCAACCUAGAGGACUUCAAGGUAUAUACGCCCCCUAUUACUCCCCGUCCUCCCUCCAAUCGCGGCUGGCAUGCCGGCAACCCCCAACCCCACCACCGCACUCUCCCUCACCUUCGACCUUGAGGACUUCAAGGCAUAUACGCACCCCUACUGCUGCCCGUCUUCCUCCCUCUGAUCCCGCUCCGAUUCUGGCCAUCUCCGCCGUGGCAAACUCUCACCCGUGCAGUACAAGGGACUUCUCUUUCGAUGCAUUGUUCGGGGUCUGGUGGACUAGCUGCUCUCGGAAUACCGCAGGGAGGAUGAAUCCUCGAUUGUGUCACCCCCGCCCUGCCUUCUUCCCCGCCGUCGACGAGCUGCUCGGCCUAUUCAAGCACUCGUGCAAGGAGCUUGUUAACUACAUGCAGGUCCGUCGUGUCAUGCCCCCUUCUGCCUGUGGCACUGAAUGCUGACUGUGUCUACAUUCAAUCGCCUGACUGAAUCGAGUGGGUUGUUGGUUCUUGGAGAUGUUGUUGUGUGCUCUGAUGGUGUGGUGUUUUUCUAUUUUUGGUUGACAUAUUGACAAGCAACUCCAGAAUCUGAAGGAGGAGGUCGCCAUGCAGGACGCUAAGCAUUGCAAGACACGGACGAGAAGGCCAGUGCUCGAGUAGAACAACUCGCUCAUCCUUGCAAACUUCGUGUAAUUCCUCUACCUGUGAAGAACGACCACAACUGGAAUUCUCAGUACGAUGUCAAGAGCACAGAAGCAACAUCAAGGCCAAGCAGAGUUUUCAAGAUUUCAGAUUAGCAAGAGCGGAAUAAGAAGAAAACAUGAUGAAGACGCCACACAACUACAUAGAAGACCGCAUCUGGUGUCACACACUUACAAAGAGGGCCCACCUGGCAGAGCAAACGGGGGCACCAUGGAAGAUGCACGAAAGGAUAAGGUUGAGGGCCCACCUGUUAGCCUGCCAGAAGAGGAUAAGGAUGAGGGGACACUAGGUGUGGUCGGCUGACACCACAGGUCGGCCGAACUUGGCCUGGUUCCCGUCCAGGUUCAUUUCGAGGAAGAGUCGCGGCCGAGGCACCUAAUCACCUUCCAUACUUGCAUUUGGCGGGAAUCGACCUCCAACAGUAUAAAUAGGGCCUCUCCAUCCCCCCUCACACACACACACACACACACUCCAUUUCACACACCCACUCCCUCUCUUGCUCUCUUGCUUAGGUAGUGGAGCUAGGCUAGUUUUCUCUUAGCAAAUCAAGUCAUCCUCAGAGUCAUUGAGCGAUCCUCGGCUCCCGGUAUGGCUUUGUAUUCUAUCUGCUAGCUUUCUAUUCAAAAUAUAGAGUUAUGCCAUGGUUGCUUUACUAUCUCGAUAGUUUAUCAAUCCAUGCUUUGGUUAUUCAUGAGUUGUGCUACGAAUAUGGUUAGGCCAGAUGAUCCGGGUAUGGAUAUUGGUUCAUUAUGCUUUUGGGCUUGCUCUAGUAUUUUACUUGUCCAUCCGAAGGGUGGGAGAUCCGGGGAUGCUAGAGUAGUGACCUCAUACACGAGCGUGGUGCUCGGGUAUGCGGGAUCCUUCGUAUAUAACUGUGCUCCACGAUGUGACUGGGGUAGACGACAGGAGGUGACAGCCCUGUCCAUCCGUCGUAACAGUUGUGUUGCGAUUAGUGCAUUCCCCGAUGUUCAGGUACUGUGUAGGAGUUCAUGCAAAGAGGUAACGGGACUGGAUGUUCUCCAGUGCGGGACCUUCUCCACGCUAUCCCAUUUUCCUGGCACCCAGCCCUAACCAUGUCCUAACAUAACUUUUGCUUUGAAUAUAAGCAAUGGGAUCUCUAACCUAGCUUAAGCUCCAGCUAACUUAACAUAGGAUAGUUUAGUUCGUUCUUAUGUUCUUUUGUUCUUUUAUCAUUUUCUUCCUAGGGUGUUAGUUGUGUGCUUGUGUCACAUUACCCUGAUUUAUUUUCUUGAUUAUGGCUUACCCCUAUUAGAGCUAUGCCUAUUACUUGAGGAACGAUGCCAUGAUUAAUGUUAAGUAUAAUACCUUUGCUACAACCAUCCUUUGGGAAAACAUAAAUCACGAUACCCUUACUCUCUGGGUGAAAUGCUACAACGGUAUAUCCGUGCGCUUGCGGAUCCCAUCUGUAAUCGUAUAGACUAUACCAUGAGAAUGGCGUUUCUUCGUGUAGUUGCUAGGGAUGGGCUUAACACCCCCGUUCCAAGUGAUUAUGCUAAGAAAAGUCAACAAGCAUUUUUGGCGCCAUUGCCGGGAACUAACAACUCCUGGUGGCGAUGUUAAGAAAGGUCAACAACAUGCCUUUCGAGGGCGAUCAAGAGCAAGUGUUUGAGGAAGAGCAACAACAAUUGGACGAGCAAG